GAUGAAGAACGCAGCGAAAUGCGAUAAGUAAUGUGAAUUGCAGAAUUCAGUGAAUCAUCGAAUCUUUGAACGCACAUUGCGCCCCUUGGUAUUCCGAGGGGCAUGCCUGUUCGAGCGUCAUUAUAACCCUCAAGCUCAGCUUGGUGUUGGGGCCUGCUGCACUGGCAGCCCUUAAAAUCAGUGGCGGCGCCAUCUGGCUCUAAGCGUAGUAAUUCUUCUCGCUAUGGAGUCCUGGUGGAUGCUUGCCAUCAACCCCCAAUUUUUCUAUGGUUGACCUCGGAUCAGGUAGGGAUACCCGCUGAACUUAAGCAUAUCAAUAAGCGGAGAA
rnacentral:misc_RNA from 1 species